UCCCUGCUUUUCCUCCCUGAGCAGGUGCCUUACCGUGAUGACAGCGAUAAGGCUUGCUGGCCCCGGCCCCCGGCCGGGGCCUCCUUUUU
rnacentral:ncRNA from 1 species